CCUACGGGAGGCAGCAGUGGGGAAUUUUGGACAAUGGGCGAAAGCCUGAUCCAGCAAUGCCGCGUGAGUGAAGAAGGCCUUCGGGUUGUAAAGCUCUUUUGUCAGGGAAGAAACGGUGAAAGCUAAUAUCUUUUGCUAAUGACGGUACCUGAAGAAUAAGCACCGGCUAACUACGUGCCAGCAGCCGCGGUAAUACGUAGGGUGCAAGCGUUAAUCGGAAUUACUGGGCGUAAAGCGUGCGCAGGCGGUUUUGUAAGUCUGAUGUGAAAUCCCCGGGCUCAACCUGGGAAUUGCAUUGGAGACUGCAAGGCUAGAAUCUGGCAGAGGGGGGUAGAAUUCCACGUGUAGCAGUGAAAUGCGUAGAUAUGUGGAGGAACACCGAUGGCGAAGGCAGCCCCCUGGGUCAAGAUUGACGCUCAUGCACGAAAGCGUGGGGAGCAAACAGGAUUAGAUACCCUGGUAGUCCACGCCCUAAACGAUGUCUACUAGUUGUCGGGUCUUAAUUGACUUGGUAACGCAGCUAACGCGUGAAGUAGACCGCCUGGGGAGUACGGUCGCAAGAUUAAAACUCAAAAUGAAAUUGACGG
rnacentral:rRNA from 1 species